rnacentral:miRNA from 1 species
UUAAGCAUUAUUCAAUGUAACAAGGCUAUAUCUUGAAAUCUGAAUUUGAAAUUGAUUUAUAUUUCAUGUCCACAGAGAUGUAUGUAUUUUACAAAACAAAUUUUCAAAAGAUGGAGAAGUUUGACUU